ACCAAAGUCCAUUAAAUACCGCGAACAUUGUCUUAACUCGCUACAUUGCUAGCAAUGGGUUCUGUAAUGAGGGCAGUUUUUCUUCUCUGUUUGAUUGCUUCAAUGGCAAUUACAACAGAGGCUAUGACGGCCUUUGCAAGGGAAGCUGCAGGAAAGCGUGGACAAACGACAAGGAAAAUGGGAAACCUAAAACCACUAGACGCCACCUUCAAUCGGCAGCCAUGUUGCUUGUAUCAAGAUGAAUUUGGAUUUAAUCGUGAUAAUGGUAACUUCUGAACACACGACGAAAAGACACGAUACGUCUGAAUAAAAGCCAGAUAAAUUUUAAAAAAAGUUAUUUUUAAGCAUGAGGAGUAUUAUUCUGUGUAAUAAAUAUAUUUAUAAAUAGAACAUAUAAUAUACGAAUAAAAUAUCAUAAAUAA